rnacentral:rRNA from 1 species
ACGGAGGGUGCGAGCGUUAAUCGGAAUUACUGGGCGUAAAGCGUACGUAGGCGGUUAGAUAAGUCAGAUGUGAAAGCCCUGGGCUUAACCUGGGAACUGCAUUUGAUACUGUCAGACUAGAGUGUGGUAGAGGGAAGUGGAAUUCCGGGUGUAGCGGUGAAAUGCGUAGAUAUCCGGAGGAACACCAGUGGCGAAGGCGGCUUCCUGGACCAACACUGACGCUGAGGUACGAAAGCGUGGGUAGCAAACAGG